UAAAAACCCCGACUUCGGAAGGGGUGUAUUUAUUAGAUACAAAACCAAUGCCCUUCGGGGCUCUUUGGUGAUUCAUGAUAACUAUACGAAUCGCACGGCCUUGCGCCGGCGAUGGUUCAUUCAAAUUUCUUCCCUAUCAACUUUCGAUGUUUGGGUAUUGGCCAAACAUGGUUGCAACGGGUAACGGAGGGUUAGGGCUCGACCCCGGAGAAGGAGCCUGAGAAACGGCUACUACAUCCAAGGAAGGCAGCAGGCGCGCAAAUUACCCAAUCCCGACUCGGGGAGGUGGUGACAAUAAAUACUGAUACAGGGCCCUUUCGGGCCUUGUAAUUGGAAUGAGUACAAUUUAAAUCCCUUAACGAGGAACAAUUGGAGGGCAAGUCUGGUGCCAGCAGCCGCGGUAAUUCCAGCUCCAAUAGCGUAUAUUAAAGUUGUUGUGGUUAAAAAGCUCGUAGUUGAACCUUGGGCCUGGCUGGCCGGUCCGCCUCACCGCGUGCACUGGUCCGGCCGGGCCUUUCCCUCUGUGGAACCCCAUACCCUUCACUGGGCGUGGCGGGGAAACAGGACAUUUACUUU
rnacentral:rRNA from 1 species